rnacentral:rRNA from 1 species
GAGCGGCCGAUAACUGAUUAGCUAGUUGGUGGGGUAAAGGCCUACCAAGGCGAUGAUCAGUAGCUGGUCUGAGAGGACGACCAGCCACACUGGAACUGAGACACGGUCCAGACUCCUACGGGAGGCAGCAGUGGGGAAUUUUGGACAAUGGGGGCAACCCUGAUCCAGCAAUGCCGCGUGUGUGAAGAAGGCCUUCGGGUUGUAAAGCUCUUUUGUUGGGGAAGAAACGGUGGGGGCUAAUACUCUCUACUAAUGACGGUACCCAAAGAAUAAGCACCGGCUAACUACGUGCCAGCAGCCGCGGUAAUACGUAGGGUGCGAGCGUUAAUCGGAAUUACUGGGCGUAAAGCGUGCGCAGGCGGUUGUAUAAGUCAGCUGUGAAAUCCCCGGGCUUAACCUGGGAAUGGCAGUUGAGACUGUACGGCUAGAGUGUGUCAGAGGGGGGUAGAAUUCCACGUGUAGCAGUGAAAUGCGUAGAGAUGUGGAGG